rnacentral:lncRNA from 1 species
CUAUCUGGAAAUCUCCAAUCAGAACCGUUUGUAAAUACCCUAGAACGAGUUCAUGGAACAUUGCAAAGGAUGAAUAAUGAGUAUCUAAGAUCAGCUCUUGACUACCUAGAAACACUGCCAGAUAUAACAAUUGCCAGGAGAACACCGGACACUUACCAUUGCCCAAACCUAAGUAUCAACAAAUGGACACAACUGUCUUUAUAUGAUGCAUAUUUUGGAUGGGGUCGACCAAUAUACAUGGGUCCAACAAACGUUGUCCAUGAAGGAAAAAUAUGUAUACUACCAAGUCCAACCGAUGAUGGGAGCUUGUCAUUGGUAACAUGCCUACAGACUGCUCAUAUGAAACUCUUCGAGAAACAUCUAUACGAAGGCUUGAAGUCAUUUGACAAGAUCAAAGCUCGAUAUUAGUUGUUUGUUCUCUCUAUCAAUAUAUGUAUAAACCUAUAAAUCUUCUACUUCUGUUUCUUUAACUAAGACUUUUUGUUUGGAUCCUGUUUAUUUGAAAUUUACCAUCUAAGUUGGCCUGGCAAACAGGUGUUUUAUUGGUAAUUAUUGUACUAUACCUCAAUAAUAGUAAUAGCAUUGAUCGCAAAGAAAUAAUAAAUUAAAAUAAGAAUACACAGAUUUUACGUGGAAAAGUCUUAUUAGAAAAAAAAUCACAGGCAGAGUAAAAAUUUACUAAUGUUGAAAAGCAACAAUACAAGAAGUUUUUUUACUACACACGUUUUAACGGUUAAAUAACAUUUUUAUAAUCAAUGUCUAAUAGAAGAUCGCUCCCACAUAUCCCCCAAAUUUGCAAUUCUAUUUUAUUUCUUUAACAAACAAGUUGCACCUCGAAUUUUUCUGACUGGAUCAAACGGGGUUCAAAUCAAACAGCUCUGACAACAACUCAAAUUAUUUUUCCAUAACCAUAUUAAAACAAAUACCGAAUAAUUGAAAUAUAUUCAAAAUUUUAAAUUAAAUUAAGUUUGGAUCAAACUCACUGAUGAUAUAUGAUUUACCUAAAGUGAAAUAAGAACUCGAAAAUAUAAAAUUUAUGGGUAAAUUUUCGUUUUGGUCACUUAAUUAAAAAAUUAUAAUUUGGUUAUUAAACUAUUCAAAAGUUUUAUUUUAAGUCAUUGGAUUGUUAAAAUUUAUAUUAUACGACUUUCUCUAUUCGCAGUGCAUGCAUCAAUUGAAAGCUCUCUUUUUCCUUCAUUUUUACAGUUCAUUUUCUAUUUUUAUGUAAAAACUUUGGACGUCAUAAAUCUGUAGACCAAAAUUUAAACAUUUUUUGCUCUGAUUUCCAACAUCGACCAUCAAAUCAAUUUAGAUCUAAGGUAUAUUUUUCUACUCAUUAAUGGAAUAAUGGGUAUCGAUCCAUCGUAUCGAUUGUUGACACCAUUUUUUGGAUGAAAACGGAGUCGACUUGGGUUUGAAAAUGAAAACGAAAAACAAGGUGUCGCGACCGAUCCUUUUUGAUGAGGUGUGAUCGGGUCACCUCGUAAAAGUGGUUGUUUUUAAUAAACGGUUUAAUUUUAUUAAAACAACGAGUUUGGUCCACGAAAUUUAGAAAAACAGGUUCGGGAGUCGGUUACGCACGAGGAAGGAUUAGCACCCUCGAUACGCCCAAAAUUGGUACCCAGUUGAUUACUUAAUGUCUUAAUGUCGAAAAUUGAAAACUUUGAAGAAUUUUAAAAAAUACGAUCCUUGUAUUAAAACGUUGAAAAUUUUCAAGAAAAUGAGGAUAUUUCACGUUAUUCGAGAAAGAGAAUCAUAUCCAGUAAGUUAGGACACAAUGUCUCGAAUUUCCGAUACGCGAAUGAAAAAUGCUUAUUUAAAAGAUAUUUAGCUAUCUCGGAUUUAAAAAAGAGAUCACGACCAGUAAGUUAGAACACGAUCUUUUUUAUUCCCGAGAUCAUUUAAAACUUAAGUUUGAAAAGAUUCGUGUAAUAAAGUUUAAAAGAAUAUUCAAUUGUUUAAAUCAAAUGAAGAAAUUGCAACCCAAUACGUUAGAGCACAAUUUCUCAAAAUAUUAAACACUGAAUAUUGCAUUUAUUUCGAAAAAUCCUCGUCUCGAGGAACCACGUGUCAUGUCCAAUGCAUUAGGACGCAACGUAUUCAAUUCUUGAUAACGAACUUUUUAUCAUUUUUUUAAAAGAGUAAUCUCGAUUAUUUAAGUUCAACGAAGAAAGUCGGAACCCAAUACGUUAGGGCUCGAUUCUCUCGAAGAUCCAAAAUAACGAAUAUUACUUAUUUCUAAAAUUUCUUUUUCGAAAUCUAAAUAAAAAUGGGUGUAAUGGAUUAACGAUGAUAAUAAUGUAAGUAAAAUAAUAAUAUGAGCAAUAGCAUCAAAGAUAAGAUAAAAUAAAAAAGGACAAAUCAAUAGCAUACAGAAUAAAUAUAUAAGCAAAUAAAGUUAAAGCAUUCGUUUAAAAUAAUAAUGAAAAUGUAAAUAAAGAGAUAAACAAAAAAUGAACAAAACUAUAUAAAAAAUAAAAGAUAUAUAUAUUAUAUGCAUAAAUACAUUUGUACAAAAAAAAGGAUAUGUAAGUUGAAAUAUAGAAAAAUAUACGUAAGAAAAAAAUAGGUUUUUAAAACAUAAAAAGUAUGUAUAAAUAUGUUUAUAUGUAAUAAAAACACGUAUGUAUAUAUGAAAUACAACAAUAAUAAAGUAUAAAUAUGUACAUUUAUAUAAAUGGAAAAAGUAGAUAUGUAUAUGUAUAUAUAUAUUAUAAAGCAUAAAAAUAAGUAUUUAUAUAAAUAAAAAUUCGUAUGUAUAUACAUAUAUAUUACAUAAAGAUAAAAGGUAUAAGUAUGUAUAUUAUAAAAUAAAACCGUGCAAGUAUGUACAUAUAUAGAUGAAUUAUAAAGUAAGUAAAAUAUGAGUAUGUAUAUAACAAAGUCUAAAACGGUAUAAAUAGGUAGAUCAAAUGCAAUAAUAAUAAUAAUAAUAAUAAAUUAAAUAAUAAAAAGGGCUAAAUUGAAAACAAAACAAAAUAAGAGAGGAAAAAAAUCAAAAAUGAAAAGAAGUCAAGGAUUAAUCCGUGACGCGCUUGAAAGGAGAGGGACCGAGGCUGCAAAUAAACCGAAGCCCCCAAAACGCAGCGCAGCAGUGGACUAAAUUGAAACAAAAAUAAAACUUUGUGGCCAAAUUAAAAAUAAAAGAAAAUGCGAAAAGGGGCCAAAUUGCGACACACUUCAAAGUCAGAGGGACUGCGUGCGCAAAUAUCCCCUUUAGCGAAAACACGCUGAUCCUCCCCUCGGGUCGGAUCACCGCGCGGGUCAAGGGAGCCUUAAACGUCGCCGUUUUGAAAUUCCUAUAAAAGCUAAUUUUUUUCUGCUAUUUCAUUUCUUAAAAAAAAACAUAAGAAAAAACAAAAGGGUCUUCCCCUUUCUCUGCUAGGGUUCCAAACUUGGAACCCCGCCGCCGUCUGCCGCAUCUCCAUCGCAGCGCCACCAAGGACGGUGGCCGGAGUCGUGCGAGAAAAAGGGAUUUUUAACCCUCAUCGUGUGGCAUCCUUGAGAUCUCAGAUCUCUCAACCCGCGGGAAAGAGGGAAACCCACAACCCCUCUCGGACCCGAAUCGGCGACGGAGGAGAAGCCCUCCGACGGCGCAACCACGGUGGUUCCCGGUGAGUCCCCUUUCCCUUUUUAUUUUCUAUUUAAUGUACGAAAUAAAGAAAAUAAAAUAAAUAAAUAAAGAAAUGCGAAUCUGAUAUCAAGCCUUGAAUCUAUUUUUUUGAUUGUUUUAUUUAUAUGAAAAUGUUACAAAAGAAAAGAAAAAGCCCCCCGAUUCAGUGAUGAAGCCCCCUCUUACAAUCAAAAUCCCUAUAUUCUACUGCUAUUGUGUCUUUUCUUUUGUAGGUGGAGCAGGUGAGGGCGUCGGUGGCAAGUGGGCAUGGUGAUGGGACGUAUGCGGCGGCCAGCAGAGCUAGGGUGCAGAGGGCUGCAGCGCUAGGGUUUCUUUUCUGAAACCCUAGCUUGACUUUUGGGGAAUUGGGCUCCGAAUUUGGGCCUCGGGUUUGGGUUAGGCUAGUUGGGUUUAUUGUAUUGGGUUGUAACUGGAAUUGGAUCAUUUGGGUUUGGGUGGUUUGGGCUGAGUCUGUUGGGUUAUUGGGCUGAUGUUUGUUAGUUUAGGGUUAAUUGGGCCCAGGCAUAAAAAUUGGGCUUGUACAAUAAAUAUAUAUUUUUUAUUUUUAUUUUUUAAUUUUAAAAUACGUUAAAAAUAUUUUUUUUUAUUUUUAAAAUAUUUUUUUUGUGUUUAUUAAAAAUCGGGCUGGGCCCGGGCUUAUUAUUUUUUUCUCGGGCCGGGCCUGGGAAAAAUUUCAGGCCCAUAUUUCGGGCCGGGCCGGGCCCGGGCCUAAGAGUCGGGCCAAAUUUUUUCCCGGGCCCGGCCCGAACCCGGCCCGGCCCAUGGACAGGUCUAGUGACAGUACAAAUGGGUUUUAAAUGCCAACUACGAUGUCCAAUUAUUAGGACAAAAAUAGGUUUUUAAUUAAAUAAAUUAAAUUUAGACUGCCACGUAGGACCGUCAUAAGGGAGGUAAGAGAGCUUAAUGAUAGAGUGACCAAUUCGUAACAGAACGAUAACAUUAGUGACUAAAACGUAACAUUUCAAACUUAAGUGACUAAAAUGUAAUCUGAAGCAAAUAAAAGUGACUGUUUUAAAGUUUACCCUUAAUGUAAUUAUUGGCGGAUGAUCUGGCCGCACCGACAAACAGCAGAAAUUGAGUCAUUUUCGUAAUUAUUUACAAAAUUUGGGUUACUUUUGUAAAAAAACCAGAGAAGAGAACCUCGCCUCUUCUUAAGAUAGCCGGACACUUUCUAACUUUCCCUUCUUUCAGUUUUUCAUCAACAGGUUUGCCUCUUACCAGAACAUCAAUGGAUGUUAGUGUAAAGAGAUGGAGCAUGAUACGCCCUGCCCAAGAUACUCCUAAAGAAAGGCAAUGGAUUUCAAAUCUGGACAUGGUGAUAACAACAUACCAUGUCCCUUUGCUGUUUUUCUACAAACCAAAUGGCUCCUCUGAUUUCUUUAAGCCUCAAGUGCUACAGGAGGCUUUAAGCAAGACUCUUGUGCAAUUCUAUCCUAUGGCUGGGAGGUUGGGACAUGAUGAAAAUGGUAGGCUCGAGAUAUUAUGCAACGCAGAGGGUGUUCUGUGGAUAGAAGCUGAAACUACAUCGGCCAUGGAUGAUCUCGACGGUUUUACUCCCUGCUCAAAACUGAGGAAACUGGUUCCCACGGCUGAUUACUCUGGAGAUAUCAGUUCUUAUCCGCUUAUUAUGGCUCAGGUAAGUGAAUGAAGAACUAUUAUCUUAUUGUAGAUGAUAACUGUUACUUGCAGUAGGAGACCAAGGAUAAGCUCUGAGAAAACUCAAACAGUCUGAUACUGAAGUUAUAGCACAAGAAAAACUAAGCUAUCAGCUAAGAAGUUGAUAUAUGGCUUUUUUUUCUCAAAACUGACUUAAAAGAAUCGAUUAAUUAUGAAAAUUACCCAGGUAUAAUAUCUUAUAUGAGAAUGACCCGUUUUCUACCGUAAAAAUUGGUACCGCUAGACUAUUUAGCGGUACCGAUAUUUUUGUAAAAGUAUUACCAUCAACAAAUUAUCGAUAUAUACUUUCCAUUCAUCUUCACAAGAAAGUGCUAAUUACGGAGGUCCAUGGUGGUGGCUUAGUAGUGAUGAAGAUGAAACCAAAACCCUUUUCUCUUCAAUGAACCUCUGGUUUGACUCAUUUGUAAUAAUUAUUUUCGCUCGUUGGAUACACCCGCAUUUUAAAUGGAAAACUGUAAUAAUCCUCACCGAAGAAAAGCAAAGAACAAGAUUAAUCAAAGCGAACAAUAUUGUUACAAAUGAGUUAGGAGAGAGGUUCAUUGAAGAGAAAAGGGUUUCGAUUUCAUCUUCUUCACUGCUAAGCCACUGCCAUGGAACUCUUAGACCUUUCUCAUGAAGCUAAACGAUACCAUCAACAAAGUAUAUCCUUUUUACAAAACUAACAUCGGUGCCAACAAUGAGUCCGGCAACAUUCAAAAAAUAUAUUUUUUUAAAAAACAUGGGGUGGUGCUUCAAUGGAAAUGGUGGCACCAAAUUUUAUGAUAGAAAAUGGGUUAUUCUCGUACAAAAUUUUACACUUGAGUCAUUUUUAUAAUUAAUAAAAAUUUUUGGUCAAUUUUGAAAAAAAAAACUUAAUGUUUUUGUUUCGAAAAGGUCAAUUGUUGAGUGUAUAUUUUGCUAGGUAACUACUCUUAAAUGCGGUGGAGUUUGUCUUGGAAUAGCAACUCAUCAUACUUUGACUGAUGGCACAACGACCUUACAUUUCAUUAAUAGUUGGUCUGAAAUGGCAAGAGGCUUGCCCCAAAUUAGCAUGCCACCACUUAUUGACCGAACCCUUCUCCGAGCAAGAGUGCCACCAAUCCCUAGAUUUCAUCAUCUCGAAUAUGACCGACCUCCUUCCUUAUACACCUCUACGUCACUUGGCCCUAAUAACCAUAAACCCUCAACUGUAUCUGUUUUCAAGAUCACACAAAAUCAACUUAAUACCCUAAAAGCCAAGUCAUGGGAACAUGGAAACAAAACCAAUUACAGCACCUACACCAUUCUAGUUGCAUACAUAUGGCGCUGUGCAACUAAAGCUUGGGACCUCUCAUAUGAUCAGCCAACCAAGUUACACAUCCCAACUGAUGGACGCCCCAGACUACAUCCUCCCCUCCCAUCAACGUACUUGGGCAACGCAAUGUUUGCGGCUUCAUUAAUUGCUCUAUCUAGAAAUCUGCAAUCAGAACCGUUUGUAAAUACCCUAGAACGAGUUCAUGGAACAUUGCAAAGGAUGAAUAAUGAGUAUCUAAGAUCAGCUCUUGACUACCUAGAAACACUGCCAGAUAUAACAGUUGCCAGGAGAACACCGGACACUUACCAUUGCCCAAACCUAAGUAUCAACAAAUGGACACGACUGUCUUUAUAUGAUGCAGAUUUUGGAUGGGGUCGACCAAUAUACAUGGGUCCAGCAAACAUUGUCCAUGAAGGAAAAAUAUACAUACUACCAAGUCCAACCAAUGAUGGGAGCUUGUCAUUGGUAGCAUGCCUACAGACUGCUCAUAUGAAACUCUUCGAGAAACAUCUAUACGAAGGCUUGAAGUCAUUUGACAAGAUCAAAGCUCGAUAUUAGUUGUUUGUUCUCUCUAACAAUAUAUGUAUAAACCUAUAAAUCUUCUACUUCUGUUUCUUUAACUAAGACUUUUUGUUUGGAUCCUGUUUAUUUGAAAUUUACCAUCUAAGCUGGCUUGGCGAACAGGUCUUUUAUUGGUAAUUAUUGUACUAUACCUCGAUAAUAGUAGUAUCAUUGAUCGCAAAGAAAUAAUAAAGAAAAAUAAGAAUACACAGAUUUUACGUGGAAAAGUCUUAUUAGGAAAAAAAAUCACGAGCAGAGUAAAAAUUCACUAAUGUUGAAAAAUACUAAUACAAGAAGUUUUUUUGACUACACAUUUUAACGGUUAAAUAACAUUUUUAUAAUCAACGUUUAAUAGAAGAUCGCCCCCACAUAUCCCCCAAAUUUGCAAUUCUAUUUUAUUUCUUUAACAAACAAGUUGCACCUCGAAUUUUUCUGAUUGGAUCAAACGGGGUUCAGAUCAAACAGCUCUAACAACAACUCAAAUUAUUUGUCCAUAACCAUAUUAAAACAAAUACCGAAUAAUUGAAAUAUAUUCAAAAUUUUAAAUUAAAUUAAGUUUGGAUCAAACUCACUGAUGAUAUAUGAUUUACCUAAAGUGAAAUAAGAACUCGAAAAUACAAAAUUUAUGGGUAAAUUUUCAUUUUGGUCACUUAAUUAAAAAAUUAUAAUUUGGUUAUUAAACUAUUCAAAAGUUUUAUUUUAAGUCAUUGGAUUGUUAAAAUUGAUAUUAUAUGACUUUCUUUGUUCACAGUGCAUGCAUCAAUUGAAAGCUCUCUUUUUCCUUCAUUUCUACAGCUCAUUUUCUAUUUUUAUGUAACAACUUUGGACGUCACAAAUUUGCAGACCAAAAUUCAAACAUUUUUUGCUCUGAUUUCCAACAUGGACCAUCAAAUCAAUGUAGAUCUAAAUUAUAUUUUUAUACUCAUUAAUGGGUACUGAUCCACCAUAUCGAUUGUUGAAUCCUUACUUGGAGCUCGUUAGUGGAACUUAAAAAACAACUUAAUAUAUAGCCUAGUGACUUAAAUGAAAAUUUUUGAAUUUAGUGGCCAAACCAAAAACUUUCCUAUAAUUUAAUGACUAAUGGUAUAGUUUACGCACUUCCUCUUGGCCCAAUUGAAGUUUUUGGUACUCCCACACACUAGUAAAAAAGUUUUAAUAGUAGAAAUGUAUGAAAUUUUUAAUAGAAAGUACCAUUUUACUUUUUGAUCUAUAUACAGAGAUUAAUUUGCCAAUUUUUUAAAUAAAUGGGGUAAAAUGUAAUUUGACUUUUAAUAUAAAAAUCUCCAUGGUAUGUUUACCUUGAAAUUAUCAAUAAAAACUAAUAAAUAUAAAAUGAAACAGUUAAUAAUAUAUCAAAUAUCCACGAGGUGAUAGGUGAUUUUAAAAUUUAACAUUUACAACUUAAUGGGCUAGUGACAAGGCCAAGCAAACCAUUAGUGGAUUGGUAACAAAUUUGGUAAUAUUUCAACGAUCCAAUUGUUUAAUAUAUCGAUAUAACUGUAUUUGGUAUGCAUGAAAAUUUUCGAACCGAUCCGAUAUUUCUGACAUAUUGAUCCAAAAUAUUGUAUAUAUUGAACUAUUAAAAGUUUUUAUAUAAAAUAAAUAGUUAGUUUUUUUUUUAAUUUACAUCAAAUUUGACAUGCAUAAUAUGACAAUUGAAUCAUUAAAAUAUGGGUAAACUACACCCAUGGUCACUUUUGUUUACCUUAGGUUACAUUUCAGUCACUUAUGUUUGAAAUGUUACAUUUUAGUCACUUACGUUAUCGUGUUGUAAUAUUUUAGUCACUGAGCCGUUAAUUGCCGUUAAUGGUGUAAUGGUAAGCUGACGUGGCACGUUAAAUCAUCAUUUCAAACAAAAACUUUAGGUUAAAUUAUACAAUUGGUCACCAUAAUUUUUCGUUUUGAGCAAUUUAAUUCUUUUAUGUUCUUUUAACUUUCUUUUUUUUUUCUUUUUUUCUUUUCUCUUCUGCUUCACCCUAUGUUUUUCUACCUUCUUUAUUUCUUUUAACAUACCAGGAAGUCGAAUUGGUAGUGAAGAAAGAAGCAUGAUAUGGGUUUAUGGGUUUUGGUUAUAGGGUUUUGGUUAUAGGCAAAUGAUGACAGUCGACUUCCUACUUCUUUUUUCAUUGCCAAUUCGACUUCCUAAUAUGUUAAAAGAAAUGGGAAAGGUAUGAAAACAGAGGGAGAAACAAAAGAGAAUGAAAAAGAGAGAGGAAAGUUUAAAGAACAUAAAAAAAAUUAAAUUACUAAAAACGAAAAAAAUAUGGGGAUCAAUUGUAUAAUUUAACCUAAAAUUUUGUUUGAAAUGAUGAUUUAACGUGCCACGUCAACUUACCGUUACACCAUUAACGACGAUUAAUGGCUCAGUGACUAAAAUGUUACAACUUGAUAACGUAAAUGACUAAAACGUAACCUAAAGUAAACAAAAGUGACCAUGAGUGUAGUUUACCCUUAAAAUAUUAAUCGUAUAAAAAAAUAAAAUACAUAUUUUAAAUUUAAUAUAAAAAUGUUUAAAAAACACUAAAAUAAAUUAAUAAAAUUCUCAAUGACUUUUGGGUUUAAAUCACAAUUAUCGAAACAGGACAAAUCGAAAAUUAAUUAAUGUAUAAAUUUGGAAUAAGAGGAUUAAUUAUCUCACAAAUUGGUUAAAUCAACCAAUCAGAUCAAUUUUUUUCAUUUUUAAAUUUUUUAAUAAUUUAUUUAAUUAAAUUAAUCAAAUCAAUCAAAUCGGAAUUAGAAUCUAAUUCUAAACACUUUGCUUUGUUAUGUCAAAGCCAUAUGUUUUUUUUACACCUUAUUUAUUCCGCAAAUUAUUGUCCGCACAUGUCAACUCUUUAUCAUCUUUUAAUGACGUGUAUGGUAUAGAUAGCCUAUCUGCAUUUUUUUUUAUUUGCCAAAUUCUUUUAUUAUUCCUUGUAUUAUAAUUAGUUUGUGAAUUUAAUCUCUAUAUUAAAAUAAAAUGUCAAUUUUAGUCCUUAUACUUUUUAGCAUUUAAAAUUUUAAUCCUCCACAAAGAGUAGUAAUUAAAUAUGUUUGUUAAUUUAUGUCGUUAAUCUUUUACACAGUAUAAAGUUAUUCCACGUUCUCUAAUUUGAUCAUUCAUAAUCCUUAUAUUUUUUGAAUUUUUAAAUUUUAACAAGCUGAUAUGAUAUUACAUAUAUGAUAAUAUUUUUGACGUAUAAGAUUUUGAAAAUAAUAAAACUACUUAAUGAAUUUAAUGGUUAUCGUUUAUAUCAAGAUUGAAAUUUCAAAAUUAGAAAAAUAUACGGACUAAAAUGAUUAAAUUAAAGUACAUAGACUAAAUUUAUAACUUGUCUAUUGCACAAGUACUAAUAGCAAGAUUUAACCUAUUUUUACAUUUAAAUAUGUAAAAGUAUCACCCAUCCACUGCCUUCCAAGAGAGAAGAUAAGCGUUUUUUUAGCAAUAAAAGAAAUAAUAAUUACCUGAUAAAUUAUUUUAUGGACAUUUUUCACGAUAUCUUCCAUGAUCCCGUCCUAUUAGAAGAUGACACAUCAUCUUUUUUUGACACAUCAUAUGUACAUUUAGACUAAACUCCCAAAUGAAAGAUGAAGUGUCUUGUUUUAAUUGGGAGGAACUAUGGAUGAUGGGGUGGAAAAUGUCUAUAAAAUAAUUUCUCAUUAUUACCUUGUCUUCGAACACAAAAACACAAGCAUUAGCAUACAGAUUUUGCCCAUCCGCUACCUCCCAAUAGACAAGAUAGGUUUUUUUUUAAUUAACUCAAUUUUUUUGAUUAAUUACGAAAAUAAUCAACUUAAAAAUUACAUACGUAAAUGAUUUGAUUUUUACAGUGUUUGUCGAUGCUUCCAGACACAUCGGCGGCACAAGUCUCAUCAUCGACCAAUAAUUGUAUUAUUUUAAAGAUUUUCAAUUCAUUCCCUAACAUAUUUAAAUUUAUAUAAAUUGAGAUAAUUUUUUGAAGGAUAUAUUUGGGUAAUUUAAAUAAGACUUUUAACUUUAUUGUUUCUAAAAAAAUAAAAAUAAUUUAUUUUUGUUAUUCUUAUAUUUUUAAGGGCUAUUUAAAUAUAAUUUUAAAAAUAUAUAUACUUAACACGCAAAUAAAUAAAAAAUUAACAAGCAUCAAAUUUGGUGCCGACAUGGUGCACUAAAAAGUUAUUAUUUUCUGGGUAAAUUACAGUAAUAGUCACUUUUAUUUACCUCAUUAUAUUUUAGUUAUUUAUGUUUGAAAUAUUACAUUUUAGUCACUUACGUUAUCAUUUUGUUAUUAAGUGGUCACUCCACCGUUAAACUUCGUUACCUCUCUAACGGUAGUCCUACGCGACAGUACAAAUGGGUUUUAAAUACCAACUACGAUGUUCAAUUGUUGGGACGAAAAUAGGUUUUUAAUUAAAUAAAUUUAAUUUAGACUGCCACGUAAGACCAUCAUUAGGGAGGUAAGAGAGCUUAAUGAUAGAGUAACCAAUUCGUAAUAAAAUGAUAACAUAAGUGACUAAAAUGUAAUAUUUUAAACUUAAGUGACUAAAAUAUAAUCUGAAGCAAAUAAAAGUGACUGAUUUAUAGUUUACCCUUAAUGUAAUUAUUGGCGGAUGAUCUGGCCGCACCGACAAACAGUAGAAAUUGAGUCAUUUUCGUAAUUAUUCACAAAAUUUGGGUUACUUUUAUAAAAACCCGAAAAGAGAACCUCGCCUUUGCUUAAGAUAGACGAGCACUUUCUGACCUUCCCUUCUGUUGGGUUUUCAUCAACAGGUUUGCCUCUUAAUUACCAGAACAUCAAUGGAUGUUAGUGUAAAGAGAUGGAGCAUGAUACGCCCUGCUCAAGAUACUCCUAAAGAAAGGCAAUGGAUUUCAAAUCUGGACGUGGUGAGGCCAACAUUCCAUGUCCCUUUGCUGUUUUUCUACAAACCAAAUGGCUCCUCUGACUUCUUCAAGCGUCAAGUGCUACAGGAGGCUUUAAGCAAGACUCUUGUGCAAUUCUAUCCUAUGGCUGGGAGGUUGGGACGUGAUGAAAAUGGUAGGCUCGAGAUAUUAUGCAACGCAGACGGUGUUCUGUGGAUAGAAGCUGAAACUACAUCGGCCAUGGAUGAUCUCGACGGUUUUACUCCCUGCUCAAAACUGAGGAAACUGGUUCCCACGGCUGAUUACUCUGGAGAUAUCAGUUCUUAUCCGCUUAUUAUGGCUCAGGUAAGUGAAUGAAGAACUAUUAUCUUAUUGUAGAUGAUAACUGUUACUUGCAGUAGGAGACCAAGGAUAGGUUCUGAGAAAACUCAAACAGCCUGAUACUGAAGUUAAAGCACAAGAAAAACUAAGCUAUCAGCUAAGAAGUUCAUAUAUACACGAGAAUGACCCGUUCUCUACCGUAAAAGUCGGUGCCGCUAGACUAAUUAGUGACACCAAUAUUUUUGUAAAAGUAUUACCAUCAACAAAGUAUCGAUACUUUCCGUUCAUCUUCACAAGAAAGUGCUAAUUAUGGAGGUCCACGGUGGUGGCUUAGUAGUGAAGAAGAUGAAACCAAAACCCUUUUCUCUUUAAUGGAUCUCUGGUUUGACUCAUUUGUAAUAAUCAUUUUCGUUCGUCGAAUACGACCGCAUUUUAAAUGGAAAACUGUAAUAAUGAUCCUCACUGAAGAAAAGCAAAGAACAAGAUUAAUCAAAGCGAACAAGAUUAUUACAAAUAGACCUGUACAUAGGCCGGGCCGGGUCGGGUUCGGGCUAGGCUCACAAAAAUUUCAGCCCGUUUACUAGGCCCGGGCCAGGCCCGGCCCGAAAUAUAGACAUGAGAUUUUGCCUAGGCCCGGCCCGAAGAAAAAAUAUGGGGCCCGAGCCCGGCCCGUUUUUAAUUAAAAUUAAAAUUAUUUUUUUAAUAAAAUUAAAAUUAAUUGCUAUUAAAAUUAAUUGUUAGUAAAAUUAUCAAAUUAUUAAUUGUUAAUUGUAUUAAUUGUUGUAAUAAAAUCUAACAUUUGAUUAGUAAAUUUAUCAAAUUAUUAAUUGUAUUAAUUGUUGUAACAAAAUCUAACAUUUGAUUAGUAAAACAAACUUGAUGUUUUAUUAUUAUUAUUUUGUAACACUAGUCAAGGAAAUGAAAGUAAAUAAACUUAAAAUAAAAAACUAUUACAUUUUAAAAAUAAAAAAUAUAUAUUUAAUAUUUUUCGGGCCGGGCCGGGCCGAGCCCGGGCCAAAAAAUCUUGCCCGAGGCCUGGCCCAUUUUUUAAACGAGCCUAAAAUUUUGCCCAAUCCCAUAUUUCGGGCAUAUAUUUUACCCAAACCCUCCCAUAUUUUGGGCGGGCCGUCGGGCCGGGCCGGGCCGCCCGGCCCAUGGACAGGUCUAAUUACAAAUGAGCCGGGCGAGAGGUUAAUUGAAGAGAAAAUGGUUUCAAUUUCAUCUUCUUAACUGCUAAGCCACCACCAUGGAACCCUUAGCACUUUUUCGUGAAGCUAAAUGAUACCAUCAACAAAGUAUUGAUCCUUUUUACAAAACUGGCAUUGGUGCCACCAAUGAGUCCGGCGACAUUCAAAACAAAUAUAUUUUUAAAAAACAUGGGGUGGUGCCUUCAAUGGGAAUGAUGGCACCAAAUUUUAUGAUAGAAAAUGGGUUAUUCUUGUACAAGAUUUUACACUUAGUCAUUUUUUAUAAUUAAUCAAUCUUUUUUGGUCAAUUUAAAAAAAAAACCUUAAUAUUUUUGUUUCAAAAAGGUCAAUUAUUGAGUGUAUAUUUUGCUAGGUAACUACUCUUAAAUGCGGUGGAGUCUGUCUUGGAAUAGCUACUCAUUGUACUUUGGCUGAUGGCACAACGACCUUUCAUUUCAUUAAUAGUUGGUCUGAAAUGGCAAGAGGCCUGCCCCAAAUUAGCAUGCCACCACUUAUUAACCGAACCCUUCUCCAAGCAAGAGUGCCACCAAUCCCUAAAUUUCAUCAUCUCGAAUGUGACCUACCUCCUUCUUUAAACACCUCUACGUCACUUGGCCCUAAUAACCAUAAACCCUCAACUAUAUCUAUUUUCAAGAUCACACAAAAUCAACUUAAUACCCUAAAAGCCAAGUCAUGGGAACAUGGAAACAAAACCAAUUACAGCACCUACACCAUUCUAGCUGCAUACAUAUGGCGCUGUGCAACUAAAGCUCGGGGCCUCUCAUAUGACCAGCCAACCAAGUUAAACAUGCCAAUUAAUGGACGUCCUAGACUACAUCCUCCCCUCCCAUCAACGUACGUGGGUAAUGCAGUGUUUGCGGCUUCAUUAAUUGCUCUAUCUUGAAAUCUGCAAUCAGAACCGUUUGUAAAUACCCUAGAACGAGUUCAUGGAACAUUGAAAAGGAUGAAUAAUGAGUAUCUAAGAUCAGCUCUUGACUACCUAGAAACACUGCCAGAUAUAACAG